rnacentral:rRNA from 1 species
GGUGAACGCUGGCGGCGUGCUUAAGACAUGCAAGUCGAACGCAGUCUUCGGACUGAGUGGCGCACGGGUGAGUAACACGUAACUGACCUACCCCCAAGUCGCGGAUAACUGGCCGAAAGGUCAGCUAAUACGUGAUGUGAUGUCCCCUUUCUGGGGGGCCAUUAAAGGUUUACUGCUUGGGGAUGGGGUUGCGUUCCAUCAGCUAGUUGGCGGGGUAAAGGCCCACCAAGGCAACGACGGAUAGCCGGCCUGAGAGGGUGGCCGGCCACAGGGGAACUGAGACACGGGUCCCACUCCUCCGGGAGGCAGCAGUUAGGAAUCUUCCACAAUGGGCGAAAGCCUGAUGGAGCGACGCCGCGUGAGGGAUGAAGGUUCUCGGAUCGUAAACCUCUGAAUCAGGGACGAAAGACGCGUAAGCGGGAUGACGGUACCUGAGUAAUAGCACCGGCUAACUCCGUGCCAGCAGCCGCCGUAA